rnacentral:rRNA from 1 species
UACGAAGGGGGCUAGCGUUGCUCGGAAUUACUGGGCGUAAAGCGCACGUAGGCGGAUCUUUAAGUCAGGGGUGAAAUCCUGGAGCUCAACUCCAGAACUGCCUUUGAUACUGAGGACCUUGAGUUCGGGAGAGGUGAGUGGAACUGCGAGUGUAGAGGUGAAAUUCGUAGAUAUUCGCAAGAACACCAGUGGCGAAGGCGGCUCACUGGCCCGGAACUGACGCUGAGACGCGAAAGCGUGGGGAGCAAACAGG